rnacentral:rRNA from 1 species
AAUGAACGUUGGCGGCGUGGAUUAGGCAUGCAAGUCGAGCGAGAACCCCGCAAGGGGGGACAGCGGCAAACGGGGUAGUAAUGUGUCGGAACGUGCCCAGAGGACGGGGAUAGCGGCGGGAAACUGCCGGUAAUACCCGAUGAUCUCGAGAGAGCAAAGGUGUGAUUCCGCCUUUGGAGCGGCCGACAUGGUAUUAGCUAGUUGGCGGGGGAACGGCCCACCAAGGCUUUGAUGCCUAGGGGAUGUGAGAGCAUGAUCCCCACCAUUGGGACUGAGACACUGCCCAGACACCUACGGGUGGCUGCAGUCGAGAAUCUUCGUCAAUGGGCGAAAGCCUGAACGAGCGACGCCGCGUGCGGGAUGAAGGCCCUUGGGUUGUAAACCGCUGUCGAGGGGGAUGAAGGCAUUCAGGUACUCCUGAAUGUUUGACAGAGCCCUGGAGGAAGCACGGGCUAAGUUCGUGCCAGCAGCCGCCGUAAUAC